GAUGAACGCUGGCGGCGUGCCUAAUACAUGCAAGUCGAGCGAACAGACGAGGAGCUUGCUCCUCUGACGUUAGCGGCGGACGGGUGAGUAACACGUGGAUAACCUACCUAUAAGACUGGGAUAACUUCGUGAAACCGGAGCUAAUACCGGAUAAUAUAUUGAACCGCAUGGUUCAAUAGUGAAAGACGGUUUUGCUGUCACUGAUAGAUGGAUCCGCGCCGCAUUAGCUAGUUGGUAAGGUAACGGCUUACCAAGGCAACGAUGCGUAGCCGACCUGAGAGGGUGAUCGGCCACACUGGAACUGAGACACGGUCCCGACUCCUACGGGAGGCAGCAGUAGGGAAUCUUCCGCAAGGGGCGAAAGCCUGACGGAGCAACGCCGCGUGAGUGAUGAAGGUCUUCGGAUCGUAAAACUCUGUUAUUAGGGAAGAACAAAUGUGUAAGUAACUAUGCACGUCUUGACGGUACCUAAUCAGAAAGCCACGGCUAACUACGUG
rnacentral:rRNA from 1 species